rnacentral:rRNA from 1 species
CACUCCUACGGGAGGCAGCAGUGGGGAAUUUUGGACAAUGGGCGAAAGCCUGAUCCAGCAAUGCCGCGUGAGUGAAGAAGGCCUUCGGGUUGUAAAGCUCUUUUGUCAGGGAAGAAACGGUGAGAGCUAAUAUCUUUUGCUAAUGACGGUACCUGAAGAAUAAGCACCGGCUAACUACGUGCCAGCAGCCGCGGUAAUACGUAGGGUGCAAGCGUUAAUCGGAAUUACUGGGCGUAAAGCGUGCGCAGGCGGUUUUGUAAGUCUGAUGUGAAAUCCCCGGGCUCAACCUGGGAAUUGCAUUGGAGACUGCAAGGCUAGAAUCUGGCAGAGGGGGGUAGAAUUCCACGUGUAGCAGUGAAAUGCGUAGAUAUGUGGAGGAACACCGAUGGCGAAGGCAGCCCCCUGGGUCAAGAUUGACGCUCAUGCACGAAAGCGUGGGGAGCAAACAGGAUUAGAAACCCCGGUAGUCCCAUGA